GGGGGCACAGAUACUAGGGAACACUGGGAGACCUGGGGACACUGGGAGACAUGGGGACACUGGGUGACACAUGAGGGGACACUGGGAGACAUGGGGCACUGAGACACUGUGAUAUAGGGGGCACUGGAGACUUGAUAAAGACCUGGGUACAGGUCAAAAUGUUGCAGUGUCCAAUAAACCUGGCUAAAUCUAUCACAGUGAGUGCCUGAAAUUUUUUUCUUUUAUACGAGGGGACACUGAGGCACUACGGGCACAGAGACACUACGGGCAGAGAAACAUGG